rnacentral:rRNA from 2 species
UCUGACCUCAGAUCAGGUAGGACUACCCGCUGAACUUAAGCAUAUCAAUAAGCGGAGGAAAAGAAACUAACAAGGAUUCCCCUAGUAACUGCGAGUGAAGCGGGAAGAGCUCAAAUUUAAAAUCUGGCAGCUUUGUUGCCCGAGUUGUAGUCUGGAGAAGUGUUUUCUGUGCCGGACCGUGUACAAGUCUCUUGGAAUAGAGCGUCGUAGAGGGUGAGAAUCCUGUCUUUGACACGGACUGCUGGUGCUUUGAGAUGCGCUCUCAACGAGUCGAGUUGUUUGGGAAUGCAGCUCAAAAUGGGUGGUAAAUUCCAUCUAAAGCUAAAUAUUGGCGAGAGACCGAUAGCGAACAAGUACCGUGAGGGAAAGAUGAAAAGCACUUUGGAAAGAGAGUUAAACAGUACGUGAAAUUGCUGAAAGGGAAACGCUUGAAGUCAGUCGCAUUGGCCAGAACUCAGCCAGGCUUUCUUUUGCCUGGUGCACUUUCUGGUUGAUGGGCCAGCAUCAAUUUUGACCGCUGGAUAAAGGCUUAGGAAAUGUGGCACCUUCGGGUGUGUUAUAGUCCUUGGUCACAUGCAGUGGUUGGGAUUGAGGAUCUCAGCAUGCCUUUCGGUCGGGGUUCGCCCACGUUCAUGCUUAGGAUGUUGGCGUAAUGGCUUUAAACGACCCGUCUUGAAACACGGACCAAGGAGUCUAACAUGCCUGCGAGUGUUUGGGUGGAAAACCCGAGCGCGCAAUGAAAGUGAAAGUUGGGAUCCCUGUCAUGGGGAGCACCGACGCCCGGACCAGACCUUUUGCGACGGAUCCGCGGUAGAGCAUGUAUGUUGGGACCCGAAAGAUGGUGAACUAUGCCUGAAUAGGGUGAAGCCAGAGGAAACUCUGGUGGAGGCUCGUAGCGAUUCUGACGUGCAAAUCGAUCGUCAAAUUUGGGUAUAGGGGCGAAAGACUAAUCGAACCAUCUAGUAGCUGGUUCCUGCCGAAGUUUCCCUCAGGAUAGCAGAAACUCAUGUCAGAUUUAUGUGGUAAAGCGAAUGAUUAGAGGCCUUGGGGUUGAAACAACCUUAACCUAUUCUCAAACUUUAAAUAUGUAAGA